UCAUCAAACUCAAGGAACUAACUACUGGGGCAAAAGGAGGAAGAGAAAGAAGCCAAUACAAGAGUCAUCAAAGCCCAGUGGCAAAACAAAAGUCAGCUUCUUGGAGCCACACAAGAGAGUUGGGUGAAAAAUAGACAACAAAGGUGGGUGAGCAGCCCUGAAAAGUGCUUGACAAGCCUUCACACUAGAGGUGCUAACCCUCUUUGAACACCCCAUGUACCCUUAUGAGUGGAGUAGAGAAAGUGUUAUUCUAACACCCUUACCACUGAGCCAGAGAGAGAUUAAGUGACUUGCACAUACUCACACUGGUAUUAUUAGUAGAAUAAGAA
rnacentral:lncRNA from 1 species